CAGAAGUCCCUUGCCACCACUGGUAGUUAACCUGCUAUGCGAGGAGGCUGGUUUGAGGCAGGGAGAUGAUUUCCAGCUCGUGCACAGAAGUUUAUUUGUGCAGAUCUGAUGCCAAUGGUUCCAUCUGAUGUCUGCAGAAAACAGGAGGUUACUCAGGUCCCUGACCACUGGAACAGGGUGGGACGAUUACGGAAUAAGUCAGCUGCCAAGUGAAAGGGGGAAGAUCUGCCUGAAGUCAGGAGACCCCCUGUCCGACUGCAGUCUUCCCUUGCAAUUGCUCGUAAUAAACUGUCUCUGACUUGUUGCUAACAAACGCAGAGUGAGGACUUGUUUUCUUCCACAGGGUAUUUCAACACUGUCUGAAUUAUUUCCCUCUCCCCUCAUUUUAUUUUCCUAAAUGAAAUUUCAGCAAAAUCAAUACAAUUUCAUGAAGCAUUUCAUUUUUGAUGGAAUUGCAUUUUCAGCUGGAAAAUUGCUCCAGCCAGGUUCUUCUGACCUGAUCUACUUGUCAGGUUUUCCUCACCAUCACCUCAAACCAGAGGCCAUUCUGUCUGGUCUAACUGUGAUCCUAAAUCACUUGGAUAUGUCUGAAAAUGUCCCCCACUCCCAAUGAUAAGUCUUCCUUAAUGCUGGAUUUCCCAUCUUGUGUCUGUCUUUUAUGCUGUAAGUUGCUUGGGGCAGGGACUGUCUUUAUA